UACGGAGGAUUCAAGCGUUAUCCGGAUUUAUUGGGUUUAAAGGGUGCGUAGGCGGUUUUUUAAGUUAGAGGUGAAAUCCCGGGGCUCAACCCCGGAACUGCCUCUGAUACUGGGAGACUAGAGAGUAGAUGCUGUGGGCGGAAUGUAUGGUGUAGCGGUGAAAUGCUUAGAGAUCAUACAGAACACCGAUUGCGAAGGCAGCUCACAAAUCUAUAUCUGACGCUGAGGCACGAAAGCGUGGGGAGCAAACAGG
rnacentral:rRNA from 1 species